UGUUAUUCCCCUUCCUGGUUUCCAGGCCAACAUCCUCAAAUUGCUACUCUUUUGUCUUGAUAUUCUAGCCAGACCAAAGGCCAGCCGUCCCAUUGGAUUGAGCAUUUUUCCCUUUGUAUAUUCCAGUGUAUGAAGCAAUUUGAAUAAUUUUUAUUUGGGUUUUCCAUAAAUUGACCAUACAGUAUAGAGUUGCCUAUAGAAUACUUGAAGUACUUGACUGAUAUUUUGCUGGUAUAUAUCCGAUUUAAAAGAUAGUUGCUUUUGAUUCGUUAUAUCAUUCUAGUCUACACUGAUGAACAAAAAGCUCUUUACAAGUUAUUAAAUUUUUCAAAUUGGUAGAUGAGGAAAUAUGUAUCUAGAAGAGUAAGCUCAGAUAAGCAAAAUAUACUUUAUUUUCUACUUAUAAGGCAGGAAACGCACUGUACUGCAUUUAACAAGAAGUACCAGUCCUAACACAGGCCUUACCAUCACUGUGGAGCAGUCUGUGUGGCAGCUCCAAGGAUCUGCUGCAGCAAUGCUCACAUGGGCAGAACCAGGACCCAGCUACCUUCCUAGACCCUCAGGUGGCUUCUGAUCCCACUGUAUGAACACUUACCAUUUAACUUGUACAAUUUAAUUUACAGUCCUCUUCUACAGUGGAAUCAGUGCAUUGUUAGGGGUUAAUUUUAAGUAAGUAAGUAAGUGUGUGUGUGUGUGUGUGUGUGUGUGUGUGUGUGUGUGUGUGUGUGUGAACAUGUGAGCACAGGUGUCCUCAGAGUCCAUAAGAGGGUAUUGGAUCCCUGAAGCUGUAGUUAACAGGUUGUGAGGUUGUGAGAUGCAUAACAUGGGUGCUAAGACCCAAACUCAGGUCCUCUGCAUGAAUAGUAUUUACUUUUUAAGUACUGAGACAUCUCUCCAACUUCAUAAUUAAUGUUUUCAGGCCAACAUCAGAAAAGGUCCUUGUAUUUUAAAUUGUGUUCUCCAAAGUACUUUCUGACCUCUGGGUUGCUGCUUCCAGUCUGUAGAAGGCACUGCUUCUGCACCUGUGGUGCUCCCUGCUGUGCUCAGCCUGACACAUUCGCUGGGGUUGUACCCUUCGUCUGGUACAGGGUUUCUCAUAACUUACAUUUUUACAUUGAAUAGCAGAAUUAAAUGAUAUUUAGGCAACAUUUUUAUUUUUUAAGGCAUUUUUUUCCAUUUUCUUAACAUUAUACUAGGUUUCAAAAUGAAAACCUAUGAGAUAUGCCAGUCAGCAUUGUUUAAAUUAGGAAGCGUUUUAGGGAAGUGGGCAUAAACUGGGCAUGGUGCCAGAUAUCUGUAAUUCCAGAACUAGGGAGGUUUAGCAGGAGUUCAUGAGUUGAAGGCCAUAGAAAAUUAGACAACAUCCUGUCCCUGCUUCUAAAACCCUGUGUUAAAAAGGAUUAAAGUAGGUAUCUCAAGGUGAAAAAAAUUAAAAUAUCGAAUGAAGAUGAAAAACAUACUGUUAUAUGAAUCAUGAAUGAAUCUUUGCUAUUGACUGUAAUGGUUAUAAUUUGCCAAUAAAUUCUUUGUAUUUUAUUAUUUAGUGUAUAAAGUCUUAGAACACAAAGUGCUUUCUUUCAUUAGAAAAUUUUGUUACAAGCCGGAUGUGGUGGCACAGGCCUGUCUUUAGUCUCAGAAGUUUAGAAAGCUGAAGAGGAGGAUCACACAUUCAGAGUCAGCAUAGACAACACAUGUUACGGGAGGCCCUAUGU
rnacentral:lncRNA from 1 species